rnacentral:rRNA from 1 species
GAUGAACGCUGGCGGCGUGCCUAAUACAUGCAAGUCGAGCGAACAGACGAGGAGCUUGCUCCUCUGACGUUAGCGGCGGACGGGUGAGUAACACGUGGAUAACCUACCUAUAAGACUGGGAUAACUUCGGGAAACCGGAGCUAAUACAGGAUAAUAUAUUGAACCGCAUGGUUCAAUAGUGAAAGACGGUUUUGUUGUCACUUAUAGAUGGAUCCGCGCCGCAUUAGCUAGUUGGUAAGGUAACGGCUUACCAAGGCAACGAUGCGUAGCCGACCUGAGAGGGUGAUCGGCCACACUGGAACUGAGACACGGUCCAGACUCCUACGGGAGGCAGCAGUAGGGAAUCUUCCGCAAUGGGCGAAAGCCUGACGGAGCAACGCCGCGUGAGUGAUGAAGGUCUUCGGAUCGUAAAACUCUGUUAUUAGGGAAGAACAAAUGUGUAAGUAACUAUGCACGUCUUGACGGUACCUAAUCAGAAAGCCACGGCUAACUACGUG